GGUCUCAAAAUUAAUAAUCUCAUAAAAUGUAAAAUGUUACGGACGAGGGUUUUCCGAGUGUAGAAUCAGUGCGGUAGAUAAGAAAGUAAAACAAAGAGAUGAAUCAAAAUAUGCAUCAGUGGUUGAGCAUAUUUUAACAAAACUUUACACCUACCUGUCCUUUGAAUAAUGACGUCAAGUUGUACUCAGGCAGAUCAGACUUCGUAGAUUCAAUUUAAACACUGAGUGUCUUGUUGUGUGGAAUGCACAAAGUGCUAUUCGACUAACGAUUCACAGUUUUCAUAAGAUUGUGUGGCACGGUUUAAAGUAGGAACGGUUGUAACAAUCGCAUUUGUAAAGGGUGUUCAAAGGUUCAGAUCCAUUACGCCACAGGUAAAGAUAGAUAAGAAUUCAUACUCUAACGACAGUCAAGACUUACAUAAGGCAUCGCAUGUUUCAAAAAUGAGUUGUAUAAUGAGCCAUUUACAGCGUGUAGUUACCUUGCGAAUGUACACGAUUGUUGCAUUGUUUAUUACACCAAUGAUUCUUCCAUUUUUUCACGACGGAACAUACUGUCAGAACGAGGCUUUGUAUGGGUUCGAGUCGAGUUUGGAACGUAGAAAUCACGCGGCACCGCUUAUCACGGCGAAGAAUGAAGCAGUCAAACCACCGGAACUGGUGAACAAGAAAAAGACAGUUUUGUAUUGGACAAAAAUGUUUUCGAGUAAAAAUUUUCGCUUAAGCGUACACGACGAAAAUCCUGACGUUUUCGCAAACUGUCCUGUCAGCUCUUGCAUGGGAACAAGCGACCGAAAUUAUCAGCCCGUCGAGAAAUUCGACGCUCUUCUAUUUCACGGUCCGGAAUUAAACGCCAGAGAUUUGCCAAAAACAAGGUCACCAAAUCAACGAUACAUAUUCGCGGAUUUUGAGACACAGGUCUUUCAUCCGAUACCGAAAAGAUUAGAAUUCAACAAUUUUUUCAACUGGACAAUGACUUACAGGAGAGAUGGAGACAUUAUGCGGCCACACGCGAUCUUCAGGAAAAUUAGCACCAACGAGUUUAUACCCCCCGACAUUCCGGCACAGUGGUUGGACGUUUCCGACGGCAACGUGUCCGAGUCUACGCGUCUCUUGUUCAAGAAGAAAUCGAAAAUGGCCGCAUGGUUCGUUUCUCAUUGUUCGACGAACAGCAAGCGAGAGAACAUCGUGAAGAAGUUGCAGAAAUAUGUGAAGGUAGACGUUUAUGGAACGUGUGGAACAUUGGAAUGCCCGAAAGCCAAAGGAGCCGAAUGUUACGAGCAAUUGGAACAAGGAUAUUUCUUCUACCUGUCAUUCGAGAACUCCUUGUGCCGUGAUUACAUCACGGAAAAAGUGUACCGGGUACUGGACUACGACGUGAUACCCGUCGUUUACGGUGCGACAGACUACGAAACUUUUCUCCCGCCGAAUUCCUACAUCAACAUCCUGGACUUUCCCUCGAUCGAGGCACUCGCCAAUUUCCUCACGGAACUGAGUCAGGACGAGGAGAGGUAUCUGAGCUACUUCAAGUGGAGAAGUUUUUACAAAAUGGUCACUGGGGAUCCCCAUAUUAUCGCUUGCGAGUUUUGCAAGAUGCUCCAUGAGCCAAAUAUGCCUAGACAGGUAAUUGCCGACAUAUACGAUUGGUGGGCUAAAGGAUCGCAGUGUGUCCCACCGCCUGUAAUCAACUAAUAAAGUCAUUGGUGAUAAUCAAAAAGAUGUUAUUGGUAUGUGAUAAGAUAAAAUAAGUAUAUGUAGAUAUAUACCAUGUAAUUGAAACAAAGAUCUAAUUUAGUGAUAUUAAUGUUCACCUCACGCGUACCAAAGUUAUAAUUAUAUCAUUUUUAUCAUUUAUAUUAAACUUGGACCUCACUGGAAUCAACGACGCGAAACAAGCUCAAGUUGUCGAGAUAAUAUUCAAAGGAGCAAGGCCCAGGUGUGUGGUCAAGUCUUGUAAGCAGUAAGGACGAAGAAAGCAGCCUCGUACAAGGUUGCGACGACAAUAAACCACGUUCUACGGAAGGAAACAAUAACUGUCUGCUUCAACUGGAUUCAUUCUGUACCGUAACGUCAUUUAUUUUUCCAUUCUCGUGCUCUUUUAUUGCUUUUUUGUUUUCCGUCAUUUAUUUCAGAUAUGUGUA
rnacentral:misc_RNA from 1 species